CCUACGGGUGGCAGCAGUCGAGAAUCAUUCACAAUGGGGGAAACCCUGAUCGUGCGACGCCGCGUGGGGGAAUGCAGGUCUUCGGAUUGUAAACCCCUGUCAUGUGGGAGCAAAUUAAAAAGAUAGUACCACAAGAGGAAGAGACGGCUAACACUGUGCCAGCAGCCGCGGUAAUACAGAGGUCUCAAGCGUUGUUCGGAAUCACUGGGCGUAAAGCGUGCGUAGGCUGUUUCGUAAGUCGCGUGUGAAAGGCGCGGGCCCAACCCGCGGACGGCACAUGAUACUGCGAGACUAGAGUAAUGGAGGGGGAACCGGAAUUCUCGGUGUAGCAGUGAAAUGCGUAGAUAUCGAGAGGAACACUCGUGGCGAAGGCGGGUUCCUGGACAUUAACUGACGCUGAGGCACGAAGGCCAGGGGAGCGAAAGGGAUUAGAUACCCUUGUAGUC
rnacentral:rRNA from 1 species